rnacentral:miRNA from 1 species
CGACAACAGUUGGUAGGCUAUC